rnacentral:rRNA from 1 species
GACGAACGCUGGCGGCGUGCUUAACACAUGCAAGUCGAACGGAAAGGCCCUGCUUUUGUGGGGUGCUCGAGUGGCGAACGGGUGAGUAACACGUGAGUAACCUGCCCUUGACUUUGGGAUAACUUCAGGAAACUGGGGCUAAUACCGGAUAGGAGCUCCUGCUGCAUGGUGGGGGUUGGAAAGUUUCGGCGGUUGGGGAUGGACUCGCGGCUUAUCAGCUUGUUGGUGGGGUAGUGGCUUACCAAGGCUUUGACGGGUAGCCGGCCUGAGAGGGUGACCGGCCACAUUGGGACUGAGAUACGGCCCAGACUCCUACGGGAGGCAGAAGUGGGGAAUAUUGCACAAUGGGCGGAGGCCUGAUGCAGCAACGCCGCGUGCGGGAUGACGGCCUUCGGGUUGUAAACCGCUUUCGCCUGUGACGAAGCGUGAGUGACGGUAAUGGGUAAAGAAGCACCGGCUAACUACGUG